GAUGAACGCUAGCGGCAGGCCUAAUACAUGCAAGUCGAACGGUGUAGCAAUACACAGUGGCGCACGGGUGCGUAACACGUAUGCAACCUACCUUACAUUGGGGGAUAGCCUUUCGAAAGGGAGAUUAAUACCGCAUAAGACAGUAACUAGGCAUCUAGUAGCUGUUAAAGAUUUAUCGAUGUAAGCUGGGCAUGCGUCCAAUUAGUUAGUUGGCGAGGUAAUGGCUCACCAAGACGAUGAUUGGUAGGGGAACUGAGAGGUCAAUCCCCCACACUGGCACUGAGAUACGGGCCAGACUCCAGCGGGAGGCAGCAGUAGGGAAUAUUGGGCAAUGGGCGCAAGCCCGACCCAGCCAUGCCGCGUGCAGGAAGAAGGCGUUAUGCGUUGUAAACUGCUUUUAUACAGGAAGAAACGACCCUUGCGAGGGGCAUUGACGGUACUGUAUGAAUAAGCACCGGCUAACUCCGUGCCAGCCGCCGCGGUAACAC
rnacentral:rRNA from 1 species